rnacentral:rRNA from 1 species
GGGGGGGGGGGGGGGGGGGGGGGGGGGGGGCGGGGGGGGGGGGCGGGCGGGGGGCGGGGUCCGCUGGCGUGGGCGGCGGGCGGGGGAGGAACGCGUGGGGAACCUACCUAUAAGGCUGGGAUAACUUCGGGAAACCGGGGCUCAUACCGGAUGAUAUAUUGAACCGCAUGGUUCAAUAGUGAAAGACGGUUUUGCGGUCACUGAUAGAUGGAUCCGCGCCGCAUUAGCUAGUUGGUAAGGUAACGGCUUACCACGGCGCCGAUGCGUCGCCGACCUGAGAGGGUGAUCGGCCACACUGGAACGGAGACACGGUCCGGACUCCUACGGGAGGCAGCAGUAGGGAAUCUUCCGCAAUGGGCGAAAGCCUGACGGAGCAACGCCGCGUGAGUGAUGAAGUUCUUCGGAUCGUAAAACUCUGUUAUUAGGGAAGAACAAAUGUGUAAGUAACUAUGCACGUCUUGACGGUACCUAAUCAGAAAGCCACGGCUAACUACGUG